UAAUACGGAGGGUGCAAGCGUUAUUCGGAAUUACUGGGCGUAAAGCGCGUGUAGGCGGUCCUGCAAGUCUGAUGUGAAAGCCCCGGGCUUAACCCGGGAAGUGCAUUGGAAACUGCAGGUCUUGAGUACUGGAGAGGAUGGGGGAAUUCCCGGUGUAGAGGUGAAAUUCGUAGAGAUCGGGAGGAAUAUCAGUGGCGAAGGCGCCCAUCUGGACGGUAACUGACGCUGAGACGCGAAAGCGUGGGGAGCAAACAGGAUUAGAUACCCUGGUAGUCCACGCUGUAAACGAUGAGCACUGGGUGUAGCGGGUACUCAUUCCUGCUGUGCCGCAGCUAACGCGUUAAGUGCUCCGCCUGGGGAUUACGGUCGCAAGACUAAAACUUAAAUGAAUUGACGG
rnacentral:rRNA from 1 species